rnacentral:rRNA from 1 species
GUUUGAUCAUGGCUCAGAACGAACGUUAGCGGCGCGCCUAACACAUGCAAGUCGCACGAGAAAGGGCUUCGGCCCCGGUAAAGUGGCGCACGGGUGAGUAACACGUAGGUAAUCUUCCCUCGAGUGGUGGAUAACCCUCCGAAAGGAGGGCUAAUACAGCAUGAGACCACGGCUUCUUCGGAAGCUGAGGCCAAAGCGGGCCUCUUAAUUAAAGCUCGCGCUUGAGGAUGAGCCUGCGGCCCAUCAGCUAGUUGGCGGUGUAACGGACCACCAAGGCAUAGACGGGUAGCUGGUCUGAGAGGAUGAACAGCCACACUGGAACUGAGACACGGUCCAGACUCCUACGGGAGGCAGCAGUGGGGAAUCUUGCGCAAUGGGCGAAAGCCUGACGCAGCGACGCCGCGUGAGUGAUGAAGGCCCUCGGGUUGUUAAGCUCUGUGGGGAGAGACGAAUAAGGGCCGGCUAAUACCCGGCUCGAUGACGGUAUCUCCUUAGCAAGCACCGGCUAACUCUGUGCCAGCAGCCGCGGUAAGACAGAGGGUGCA